rnacentral:tRNA from 1 species
GCCUUCGUGGUGCAGUAGUCAGCACGCUGGGCGUGUAUUCCAGAGGUUCAUGGUUAGAGUCCCGUCGAAGUCA